GACGAACGCUGGUGGCAGGCUUAACACAUGCAAGUCGAGCGCCCCGCAAGGGGAGCGGCAGACGGGUGAGUAACGCGUGGGAAUCUACCCAUCUCUACGGAAUAACGCAUGGAAACGUGUGCUAAUACCGUAUACGUCCUUCGGGCGAAAGAUUUAUCGGAGAUGGAUGAGCCCGCGUUGGAUUAGCUAGUUGGUGGGGUAAAGGCCUACCAAGGCGACGAUCCAUAGCUGGUCUGAGAGGAUGAUCAGCCACACUGGGACUGAGACACGGCCCAGACUCCUACGGGAGGCAGCAGUGGGGAAUAUUGGACAAUGGGCGCAAGCCUGAUCCAGCCAUGCCGCGUGAGUGAUGAAGGCCCUAGGGUUGUAAAGCUCUUUCACCGGUGAAGAUAAUGACGGUAACCGGAGAAGAAGCCCCGGCUAACUUCGUGCCAGCCGCCGCAGUAAAAC
rnacentral:rRNA from 1 species